AUGGCGGAUCGACUCUAGGCGGAAGCAUGUCAGUAAUGUGAAAUUCUUUUCCGUGACACGCAUAAAUUUUACUAUUAAUAACGUUUAAAGACUUAAAAUUUUUGUGAAAAUAAAUUAAGACGUAUUUCUUAAAGCUAUUAUAAAUAAUAUAUAUUAAUUGUAACGUGUGCAAACGCAUUUAUUAUCAUCAACUUAUACCCAUAUAGAUAUUUCUACGUAUAUUCAUACAAGUUAUGAUAAUAAUCGCAAAACUUAAUUAAUAUCUUUCUUAUUGAUCAUACAAUAAAAACUAUUAACCAAGUUACAUACUUGAUAAUAUGUAAAAACGUAUUAACUUUGUGACAAAUAGUGUACAGUGGAAUCAAAAUGUGUUUUAGUUCACAUGAUAGUACAGUCGUUUAGAUAGUUAAUGUAUCACUCAUUAUAUAUGAUAUUCAUGUAUGAGUAAAAACUACGAAUAUUAAUUACUUAAUUACCGUUCUAUUUCCUACUAAUUGAUUAUCUUCAGAUCACAAUAGUAUGAGGAAACUUGUUGACAUUUUGGAGAGUGAAAAAUAAUUAAAAAGAAGAUUGAUGAAGAAAAAGAUAGUUGGUA